GCGGUUGUAGCUCAAGUGGUAAGAGUGCUUGCCUCGCAUGCAUGAGGCACUGGGUUCGAUUCUCAGCACCACA
rfam:Ictidomys tridecemlineatus contig065787, whole genome shotgun sequence.